GUCAAACUUUAGUUAAGAGAAACUGUCAGCGUCAAACGCGCCAGCAGCAUUACCUGUGGUGAAAUACGGAAAUAACUACCACUAUCUGCGCGUCUUAAUAACCAAACAUUACUGCUAAACCAGGGAUUAGAGACCCCUUUAUACAAAUGCUCAUUAUAGAUUGCGGGGUACUACAACUAUAAGAGUUAAAACUUAAACAACAUGGCGGUAAUUUUAAUUUAGGGGAACUUACUUAAUAAUUGAUAACCACCAAGGUAAAUUAACUUUGGUAAACUCUUGUAUGCCGUCGUCGUCAGGUAGCACUUAAUGUUCUACCAUAAUAGUAUACCUAAAAAGACAGAUCAAGGUGCAGACAAUACCAAAGUUGUAGCGAGUUACAAUUUUAAUUACUAACAGACAAACUACGUAAAUAACAUUGAAGGCGGACUUAACAGUAAUAAAUAUUAUUAAUAUUUUAUGAAAUGUUU
rnacentral:rRNA from 1 species